rnacentral:lncRNA from 1 species
CCGCCGCCGAGAGUCGCGCGGCUCCCGCCCUCCGCGGUGCAACAGCAGCGAGACCCGCCGCCCCGGGCCCGGGCCGCACUCGGGAGCGGGGCGUCGCCGCUGCAGCCGCCGCCUCGGGAGCCGACUAGAAACCCAUGGUUAAUCACAAGCGUCUUCAGCAUCCCGUCCUGCUUCUGUCUGAUAAAACUUCACCCUUGGAUCAACCCACCUCUGUCUCUGCGCUUCUGAAAUCCUGGGACCCACUGCAGGAGACACCGUUCAUGCAUCGCUGGCUGACACCGGGCUCAAAAGCAGAUCACGUUUGGCAUCAUCUUAUUAAAGCUUUCUGGACCUUUCUCAGGACCCCAGAGUUCCGGGAAGAACCCAACAUUCCCUGGUGCCAGCCUGUGGCUGUGCCAGUCACAUCCGCCCUGCUGAGCCUCCUCUAGCUCCUAUGUACCAGCCCAACCUGGGCACCCCUAUCCUGACCACACCUUGUACUCUCCUCUCUCCAGCCCUUUGCUCCUGUUGUUUCUUCCACCUGGGCUGCUGUCCCUCCAGUUUUUGCUGGUCGAAACCUCAUCCAUCCUUAAGGCUCAGCCUGCGCACGCGUCCUGUGGCUAUCAGGUCCCUCCUUCUCUGGCUCCUCGUAGCCUGGCCACGGUAGCCGGCCCUGGUGUGCUCCGGAAGCUCACGCUCGUCCUCUGACUCACUUCUCCGUCUCCCCUCCCAGAGCUGGGGUGGCCACAGAACUUUCUGGGAAGAGCUUUGGAGUCAGACAAGACCGGCUUCCGCGGAGCUGCAGUCUCGGUGGUUGUGAAACGGGGGUAUUGAUGAUCAUUCGCCACCGUGAGGAAGCGUGGAGGGAGCUGCCACCCGGAGCCCGGGCACCCGUCCCGGCGCUGCCCUGUGCUUGGCCCUGGGGACACAGCAGUGGAGACAGCCCUGCCUGCCAGCAUGGAAGCGGCUUGAGCUAACAUUAGUACUAGCGGUCUGUUAUUAUAGCAGCUUUAUUGGUGUAUUUACAUUAAAGUACAAAAUCUUGGGGCGCCUGGGUGGCUCCGUCGGUUGAGCGUCCGCCUUCGGCUCAGGUCACGAUCUCUCAGUUCGUGAGUUCGAACCUUGUGUCGGGCUCUGUGCUGACAGCUCAGAGCCUAGAGCCUCUUUGGAUUCUGUGUCUCCCUCUCUCUCCGCCCCUCCCUGCUCGCUGUCUGUCUCUCUCUCUCAAAAAUCAAUACACAUUAAAAAAAAUUAAAGUACAGAAUCUUUGUGAGUGACCAGAUGAAUGUUCCCAUAUGUCCACACUGUGGCUCCGUGCGGAUCGAGUCAUAGCACCUUCCAGUCCCCCAGGAGCCUCCACCGAGGGCAGCUACUGUUUUGACCUUUAC